GAUGAACGCUGGCGGCGUGCCUAAUACAUGCAAGUCGAGCGAACAGAUAAGGAGCUUGCUCCUUUGACGUUAGCGGCGGACGGGUGAGUAACACGUGGAUAACCUACCUAUAAGACUGGGAUAACUUCGGGAAACCGGAGCUAAUACCGGAUAACAUAUUGAACCGCAUGGUUCAAUAGUGAAAGGCGGCUUUGCUGUCACUUAUAGAUGGAUCCGCGCCGUAUUAGCUAGUUGGUAAGGUAACGGCUUACCAAGGCAACGAUACGUAGCAGACCUGAGAGGGUGAUCGGCCACACUGGAACUGAGACACGGUCCAGACUCCUACGGGAGGCAGCAGUAGGGAAUCUUCCGCAAUGGGCGAAAGCCUGACGGAGCAACGCCGCGUGAGUGAUGAAGGUCUUCGGAUCGUAAAACUCUGUUAUCAGGGAAGAACAAAUGUGUAAGUAACUGUGCACAUCUUGACGGUACCUGAUCAGAAAGCCACGGCUAACUACGUG
rnacentral:rRNA from 1 species